rnacentral:lncRNA from 1 species
UUUUUUUUUUUUUUUUUCUUUUUUUGUCAUCACCAUCUUCCCAGUAUCAAGCAAUUUUCCUGGCAGAUGAUAGUUCAGUGUAUGUUUGGUGAUUAAAUGAAUGUCAUUUUUAGAAAAAAAAAAUGUAUGUAUUAAAUUUAGUAGCACACACAAACCAAUAGGUUGCAUACCCUAUUUUAAAUAAAUCAAGGCAUUAGGUAUUGUGGUUACUGAUACCUGUCUUCACAUGAGACUAUAUUUGAAAUAAAUUUGUCUGUACUUGUUCUACAUGUCACUGCCAUAGAAUGUGGUUUAGCAAGGAUAUAAUGUUCUUAGGGUUUUUUAGAUCUUAAAUUCUAACUUAAAUUUGUUAAUUUCAGUAGUUAUUUACAGCUUAAAAAUUGUCAAUUCAAAAUUUAAACGGUAUUAAUUGAAGAAUCUCUAUACCUCCCUUCAUGCUAAGGUAACAUAAGUUUUAUGGAGAUUUUUACCAUUAUUCAUUUAAUCUAGACAUUAUUAAUUUUAAGCUGUAACACUAAGAAAGAAGUCAAUUUAAUUAUGAAAUAAUAUGAUAUUUUUGUGUAAUAGUGGAAUUGUGCACACCAGCUUCUUAAUACUUUUGCAUUCUUCCUCCCUUCUAAAGAAUUCGGCAAUUGCUCUUGCCUUCGGGUGUAUUUCUUGGUUUGUAAUAGUUUUUCAGAACAGAAAUUAGCAAAGGUUCGUCUACUUGGGAUAUUGGGACAUCUUCCCAUUUUUAAAGUCACGGUUGUUUCUUGGCAAAAAUAUGGAAUUCUCACCAUUAUUUCGGUAGUAAACAUUUGCUUCCCCAAUAAUAAACUAUAGUUUACUACUUUCAUUUGUUAUACACAUACAGUAACUUUUGCUUCAGUAAUAAUUCAUGAUAUUAUCUUUUUAAAGGCAUUCAAGACAUUAAACUCAUUCUCUAUAAUACCAACAAUGCAUGUAAUUCUAUUGAAGUGACAAAGAACAAAGAGCCGGAUCAGCUUUGUGCACAUAUAGGCAGUGGCAACUACAUAGUAACCACCACCUGUCUGAUCACAUUUCUAAGAUGCCUUCCAUCAGCUGGAAGAUGCAUCUCAGGGUCAGAGAUGUUAAAAUAUGAAAAAUGUGUUUUAGAAACUGUGAAAUCUAGUCAUCCCUGCGAGAAGGUAGCCUUACUGUUCUGCUUGGUUUUGGGGCUUGAACCUCUAGUCCUGCCACUUUCUGGCCAAAAGAACAUGUUGUUAACAAGUCCACACAGAUUAUAUUAUGUAUUCCUCAUUCUGUGUCUAAGCUUGAACCUUCAGUCUGCCUUGUACAAUUUUGCCUCACCAGAUACUGGAAACUCUUGGUUAUUUUCCUGAUGCCAUACAU